GCCAAGUUCUCUGAUCUCUUACAUAGAAAACUGAAAACAUAGAGCAAAAACUAAAAAUGCUGGGUCUACAAUGAGGAGUAAUAUUGAAAGGGUCCUUUCAGCUAAUGUCAAACACACAUUUUUAAAAAUCCUUUAUUAACAUGUACUGCAAUCAUUAUAGUUAUCCUUUGGAUUUGAAUAGAAAUUAGAAUAAAAGACCAAUACUAAUAAUAAAAUGCAAGACCAAGACAUCCUUAAAAGUCAGACUCAUGUCUGAUCAGUAUAUCUGGCAGAAGACAUCGUGGCAAUCAUGCAAAAACUUGAGUUCAUCAUUUAAAAUUGAAAUGAAAAAUAAACAGCUAAAACUAGGGAGUUUUUGUACAUGUAAUGAAAACAGUCAUUUCACGAUCACACUUGAGAAACAUUCAAUUUUACAUUAAAGUAUGUUUUGGACAACUUCCUUUACAGCUCUUCCAGCCAGCGUGAGGGCCUCAAGCACAGGCGCAUGUUCCGCCAUUUUGUGCCUUGUCAGGAGGAGGCACCUUGGGGUCCUUCGCAGCCAUCCCUGUUUUUCCUUCUGCAAGGAACACAAGUCAAGGCUUAACACAUUUGGCCCUGGGAUGCUGGAGCUGAACAAUCAAAGGAGCAGAGGCUGUGAAUGCUGUGUAUAUGACACAGACUGGAAUUUAACUUCUGUUCUAACGCAGGUAUUUCUCUCCUUGAUUAAAAAAAAAAAAAAGAUGCAACUAUCACUAAAUAAUAGAGAUAAAAAUGGGAAAAAGCUUAUUUGCUCUUCUCCUACGUUUUUUUUUUUUAACCUAGAUUUUCUGAAAAGACCUUCAUAUUCUGUCAUUUUCCAGUGGUAGAUAACAUUUCUGUUGCCAUUUAGUUCAUUACCCA
ensembl:lncRNA